rnacentral:rRNA from 1 species
AACGAACGCUGGCGGCAUGCUUAACACAUGCAAGUCGAACGGCAACGCCCUACUUUUGUGGUGUUCUCGAGUGCCAGACGGGUGCGUAAGACGUAUAUAACCUGACCUUCAUUUUGGUAUAACUUCACGAAACUAAGGCUACUACCAUAUCGCAUCUCCUCCUCCAUUGUGAGGGUUGGAACUUUUCGGCGUUUGGGGAUGGAUUCGCGGAUUAUCCACUUGUUGGUGGGGUAGUGGCUUACCAAGGCUUUGACCGGUCGCCGGCCUGAGAGGGUGACCGGCCACAUUGGGACUGAGAGACGGCCCAGACUGCUACGGGAGGCAGCAGGGGGGAAUAUGGCCCAAUGGGAGGAAGCGGGUGGAAGAAACGCCGCGGGCGGGAAGACGGCCUUUGGGGUGUAAAACGCUGUAGCUUGUGACGAAGCGUGAGUGACGGUAAUGGGUAAAGAAGCACCGGCUAACUACGUG